AGAGUUUGAUCCUGGCUCAGGACGAACGUUGGCGGCGUGCCUAAUACAUGCAAGUCGAACGAAGUCGCCCAAUUGAUUCUUAGUGCUUGCACUAAGAUGAUUUUGGAUCCGACUGAGUGGCGAACUGGUGAGUAACACGUGGGUAACCUGCCCAGAAGAAGGGGAUAACACCUGGAAACAGAUGCUAAUACCGUAUAACAACAAGAACCACAUGGUUCUUGUUUGAAAGCUGGCCUUUGUGCUAGUGCUUCUGGAUGGACCCGCGGCGUAUUAGCUAGUUGGUGAGAUAAUAGCUCACCAAGGCAAUGAUACGUAGCAGACCUGAGAGGGUAAUCUGCCACAAUGGGACUGAGACACGGCCCAUACUCCUACGGGAGGCAGCAGUAGGGAAUCUUCCACAAUGGACGAAAGUCUGAUGGAGCAACGCCGCGUGAGUGAAGAAGGGUUUCGGCUCGUAAAACUCUGUUGUUAGAGAAGAACAGCCGUGAGAGCAACUGCUCACGGUAUGACGGUAUCUAACCAGAAAGUCACGGCUAACUACGUGCCAGCAGCCGCGGUAAUACGUAGGUGGCAAACGUUGUCCGGAUUUAUUGGGCGUAAAGGGAGCGCAGGCGGUUUAUUAAGUCUGAUGUGAAAGCCUUCGGCUUAACCGGAGAAGUGCAUCGGAAACUGAUAAACUUGAGUGCAGAAAAGGAUAGUGGAACUUCAUGUGUAGCGGUGAAAUGCGUAGAUAUAUGAAGGAACACCAGUGGCGAAGGCGGCUAUCUGGUCUGUAACUGACGCUGAGGCUCGAAAGCAUGGGUAGCAAACAGGAUUAGAUACCCUGGUAGUCCAUGCCGUAAACGAUGAUUACUAGGUGUUGGAGGAUUGACCCCUUCAGUGCCGCAGUU
rnacentral:rRNA from 1 species